GCAAACUUGGUCAUUUAGAGGAAGUACAAGUCGUAACAAGGUUUCCGUAGGUGAACCUGCGGAAGGAUCAUUAACAAAUCGUGUGUAUUGUGUGUGUGUGUGUGUGUUUAACAUGCAUACAAUAUAUAUAUGUGCGCCAGCAUAUCAUGCUGGAAUGCAAAAUAUUCAUGAUUAGUGUGAAUAAUCAAUGUGAUAAUACAACAAAACAUACUUUUAACAAUGGAUCUCUUGGCUCUUGCAUCGAUGAAGAACGCAGC
rnacentral:misc_RNA from 1 species